GGGGGACCAUCCUCCAAGGCUAAAUACUCCUGACUGACCGAUAGUGAACCAGUACCGUGAGGGAAAGGCGAAAAGAACCCCGGCGAGGGGAGUGAAAUAGAACCUGAAACCGUGUACGUACAAGCAGUGGGAGCACCUUCGUGGUGUGACUGCGUACCUUUUGUAUAAUGGGUCAGCGACUUAUAUUUUGUAGCAAGGUUAACCGUAUAGGGGAGCCGUAGGGAAACCGAGUCUUAACUGGGCGAAUAGUUGCAAGGUAUAGACCCGAAACCCGGUGAUCUAGCCAUGGGCAGGUUGAAGGUUGGGUAACACUAACUGGAGGACCGAACCGACUAAUGUUGAAAAAUUAGCGGAUGACUUGUGGCUGGGGGUGAAAGGCCAAUCAAACCGGGAGAUAGCUGGUUCUCCCCGAAAGCUAUUUAGGUAGCGCCUCGUGAACUCAUCUUCGGGGGUAGAGCACUGUUUCGGCUAGGGGGCCAUCCCGGCUUACCAAACCGAUGCAAACUCCGAAUACCGAAGAAUGUUAUCACGGGAGACACACGGCGGGUGCUAACGUCCGUCGUGAAGAGGGAAACAACCCAGACCGCCAGCUAAGGUCCCAAAGUCAUGGUUAAGUGGGAAACGAUGUGGGAAGGCAUAGACAGCCAGGAUGUUGGCUUAGAAGCAGCCAUCAUUUAAAGAAAGCGUAAUAGCUCACUGGUCGAGUCGGCCUGCGCGGAAGAUGUAACGGGGCUAAACCAUGCACCGAAGCUGCGGCAGCGACGCUUAGGCGUUGUUGGGUAGGGGAGCGUUCUGUAAGCCGUUGAAGGUGGCCUGUGAGGGUUGCUGGAGGUAUCAGAAGUGCGAAUGCUGACAUAAGUAACGAUAAAGCGGGUGAAAAGCCCGCUCGCCGGAAGACCAAGGGUUCCUGUCCAACGUUAAUCGGGGCAGGGUGAGUCGACCCCUAAGGCGAGGCUGAAAAGCGUAGUCGAUGGGAAACAGGUUAAUAUUCCUGUACUUGGUGUUACUG
rnacentral:rRNA from 1 species